rnacentral:rRNA from 1 species
GAGAGCUUGCUCUUGAUGACGAGUGGCGCACGGGUGCGUAACGCGUAUACAAUCUACCUUUUACAGAGGGAUAGCCCAGAGAAAUUUGGAUUAAUAUCUCAUAGUAUUAUUUUAUGGCAUCAUAAGGUAAUUAAAGAUUUAUCGGUAAAAGAUGAGUAUGCGUUCUAUUAGUUAGUUGGAGUGGUAACGGCACCCCAAGACAGCGAUAGAUAGGGGCCCUGAGAGGGGGAUCCCCCACACUGGUACUGAGACACGGACCAGACUCCUACGGGAGGCAGCAGUGAGGAAUAUUGGACAAUGGAGGCAACUCUGAUCCAGCCAUGCCGCGUGCAGGAAGACUGCCCUAUGGGUUGUAAACUGCUUUUAUACAGGAAGAAACCGCUCUACGUGUAGAGCUCUGACGGUACUGUAAGAAUAAGGAUCGGCUAACUCCGUGCCAGCAGCCGCGGUAAUACGGAGGAUCCAAGCGUUAUCCGGAAUCAUUGGGUUUAAAGGGUCCGUAGGUGGAUAAUUAAGUCAGGGGUGAAAGUCUGCAGCUCAACUGUAGAAUUGCCUUUGAUACUGGUUAUCUUGAGUUAUUAUGAAGUAGUUAGAAUAUGUAGUGUAGCGGUGAAAUGCAUAGAUAUUACAUAGAAUACCAAUUGCGAAGGCAGAUUACUAAUAAUAUACUGACACUGAUGGACGAAAGCGUGGGGAGCGAACAGGAUUAGAUACCCUGGUAGUCCACGCCGUAAACGAUGGUUACUAGCUGUUCGGACUUCGGUCUGAGUGGCUAAC